UACGGAGGGUGCGAGCGUUGUCCGGAAUCACUGGGCGUAAAGCGCACGUAGGCGGAUUGCUAAGUCAGGGGUGAAAUCCUGGAGCUCAACUCCAGAACUGCCUUUGAUACUGGCGACCUUGAGUCCGGGAGAGGUGAGUGGAACUGCGAGUGUAGAGGUGAAAUUCGUAGAUAUUCGCAAGAACACCAGUGGCGAAGGCGGCUCACUGGCCCGGUACUGACGCUGAGGUGCGAAAGCGUGGGGAGCAAACAGG
rnacentral:rRNA from 1 species